UUGACGGAGAGUUUGAUCCUGGCUCAGGACGAACGCUGGCGGCGGGCUUAACACAUGCAAGUCGAACGAGGUCCAUCUUGUAGCAAUACAAGUGAAGACCUAGUGGCGAACGGGUGAGGAACACGUGAGAAAUUUGCCCCGAACUUUGGGAUAACAGUUGGAAACGACUGCUAAUACCGAAUGCCGUUACGAAGUGGCAUCACUUUGUAACGAAAGAAUUUCGGUUCGGGAGAAUCUCGCGGCCUAUCAGCUUGUUGGUGAGGUAACGGCUCACCAAGGCUACGACGGGUAGCUGGUCUGAGAGGAUGAUCAGCCACACUGGGACUGAGACACGGCCCAGACUCCUACGGGAGGCAGCA
rnacentral:rRNA from 1 species